GAUGAAGAACGUAGCGAAAUGCGAUAAGUAAUGUGAAUUGCAGAAUUCAGUGAAUCAUCGAAUCUUUGAACGCACAUUGCGCCCGCCAGUAUUCUGGCGGGCAUGCCUGUUCGAGCGUCAUUACAACCCUCAGGCCCCCGGGCCUGGCGUUGGGGAUCGGCGGAGCCCCCCGUGGGCACACGCCGUCCCCCAAAUACAGUGGCGGUCCCGCCGCAGCUUCCAUCGCGUAGUAGCUAACACCUCGCGACUGGAGAGCGGCGCGGCCACGCCGUAAAACACCCAACUCUUCUGAAGUUGACCUCGAAUCAGGUAGGAAUACCCGCUGAACCUAAGCAUAUCAAUAAGCGGAGGA
rnacentral:misc_RNA from 1 species